UCGACCACAAACAAACAAAAUAUAGAUAGUAAAAAUUAUAUACGAAGGGGAAAGAAAGAGCGAAGAGUACCUGAAAGCAUAUUGAGAAAGACAAUAAUAAAUGAUCAGUAUGACUCGUCGAUUAGAACCACUGGAACAAACACAAAUCUCCAAGUAAGUGUAGCUGAUCGGACGCACAAAAAAUAAUAAAAGUUUAUUUUGAUCAAACAGAGAUACAGGAAAACAAAGUAAAAAAUCAAAAGCAAAAAGAUGUCCAUGCAAUUUGUACGUAUUUACAUUACUGAAUAUACUUUCAACAGUGACUAAUAUCUAUGUAUGUUUAUUAUAAUUUUUUAAAAGAACUCAAGCAAAAACAUACAAUACCUAAAAAUAAAUGACAAGAGAUUAGAAAAUUUGCCUUCUGGUUCGAGUGCUACUGAAUAACAGAAGUAGAAAACAACCACAGCGGAUCGCAAGAACUGCAAUAACAAAGAAGAUAAACUGUUACAGGCACAACAAUUUUGGUCUUUAGACUCUUCACUAAUAAAGAAAGAGAUGAAGAUUCAAAAGGCAAAAGGAGGUCAAAAUAUAAGUUCCACGUGCAAUUUUGAACUGGAGUUCAACAAAUUUUCGUACAAAUGUAAAUUUCAGUUAAUGAAAUUUUUUUGUCAGCAUCCCAGAUUUUCGAAACCCGUAUUCCUUGCUAUACUACCAGUAAGAACAAUAGGAAUUAGAGACAACAUGAUCAGUUAGCUUUUAAGCAUUGGCGAAAAAGCUUGAGAGUCGUGGACAUUAUUUAUCAAAUUACCUUAUUUGAAUGAAGACAAUUCUGCUUAGGCAACAAACAAAUUUGCUUUCUUUUUGUUUGUUUUCGAUAUCACUUUCUCAAAGAGUUGAACUUAUGUACAUAAAAGAAGAAGAAAAAUACUUCUACCAGAAAUAAACACUCAAAUUGGAAAGUUCACACAAAAAUAAUGUAGGAGCCAACUAAUCUUCGAAAAAUAAGAUAUGAAAAUGCAAUAGAAUAUCAGAUCUUCUCUGCCACUUUCUUGAUUCAAAAUGAAUUUCUAAAGUUCCAGUGCACUUGAGCAAGAAAUAUAAUGAUACAAUUGUGCAAUUUCAUGCAAUCAAUAUAUAUUACACAUAACCAUGAACCUACCAUCAUCUACUUACUUUUUGUUUCGAUAACCAGUUAGAGAAAAUACAUAGAUGGUUCCUUAAAUUGUUGGUCUAAAUUGAGAAGCUUAUCUUAAGACAAUGAGACAAAAUCAAAUGAAAUCAAAUCAUCCUAGGACCUAACUGAGUUUGAUACACUCCCUCCUCAAGCACACAGUACCCUUACCUAUAUUGUUUAUUGCCAAUCAUAUGAACUUUAUUUUCCAAGUGAUCAGUCAAGUUCAUAAGCUUUCUUUUAGUGAUGCACAUCUUGUGCAUAUGACUGAACUAUCUUUACAUUAAGAAAAACGGUACAUUUUUGGUAAACUAAACAUGAAAGAUAAAAAUGAAUAAUAGACAGCUCAAAAGCUCACAUUAAGUUUUGUGAAGAGAUCAAUUUAAAAAGUUUAUAAAUAAUUACACCAUCUGAGGCCCUCCUGCACAAUUUUUUUCUCUGCCGAUUUUGCAUAUGAAUGGAUAGCGUACAAUCUAAUGCUUUCUCGUGCAGCAUGUUAUAUGCAGAACAUAGACCAGAACUCCUUCAACGAAAAUAUGUAGCAAACAGUUCAUUUUCAGAACAUGUAGAAGCAGCCUUUAUCAACCACGACUAUCGAAUUCGAGCUAUAAAGAGCUGUCGGUUUACUCAUCAAAAAGGAAAAAUAGAAAAGGAAGCUAACACUUCCAUUUUCUAAUAUUCUGCAAUAAAACAUAUGACAUAAAAAGAUAUAGCAGAUUUUAAGUAGUCCGGCAACAAAAGCUCCAACUACAAUUGAUUGUUAGUACCUAUGGCAAUAUUGAAAACGUCAAUGUUGAACUCCAGGUAGUAGACGGGAUGAAUUAAGAGCCCGUUUGGCUUAGCUGAUUUAGAGUAGCUGAUAAGCAUUAGGUGCUGAAAAGUACUUUUAAGUGCUGAAGCUGAUUUGGAAAAUAAGCAGUUAUGUGUUUGGAUAAAAGUGCUGAAAUUAAUAAUAAGCAGCUGAAGAACUGGAUAUAUGAAGAUUUUUGUUUUAAAAAAAGUAUUUUAGGGAUAGAAUAGUAAAUAUCUUGGUCAAACCUAAAGUGCUUAUAAGCUGAAAUUUGAUAAGUUGGGAGAGACCAGCUUAUGGCUUUUGGCUUAUUUUUGGCUUAUAAACACUUAACUUAUAAGCACUUUUAAUUUUAUCAAACAAGUAGAUAAGCCAAAAAUUGCUUAUAAGCCAGUAUGACCAGCUUAUAAGCUUAGCCAAACACUCUCUAAGUCAUUGAUCAUGUGAAGAUGAAAAAAUAAGCAAACCUUUUAUUUCACUCUCCCGGUGAAUAUAAAAUUUCAGGAAUUUACUAAUGGCAUCAAGUGAUGUACUCUUAUCUUGCUCACCUCAGCUUCCAUCAACCUCAUUGCCCCUACUACAAGCCCAUCUACUAAGCUGAAUGUAUGAAUAUUUGAAAAUCAUCCAAAUUCAAACGUUAAUUCUAC
rnacentral:lncRNA from 1 species